rnacentral:lncRNA from 1 species
UUGCAAGGAGAUACAUUCAUAUACAAGAAUAAACGAACAUUUUCAUAGAUACUUCAAAUAGUUUUCACAAACGUUUUUACAUGUUGAAACACUUUUAGAAACUGUCUUACAAACUGUAGGUUUCCUUUUGAGUCUGUUAUAUUUGUAUUUUCAAACAAAGGUUUUCUCACACUUAAACUGUAUUGUUAAACGGUCUUUCUAACCGAUUUAUGAACUGACAUCAAGUCAUAAAUUCCUAUUUAUUAAACUUUUCAGAGAUUUUCAAACAAAGGUUUUCUCACACUUAAACUGUAUUGUUAAACGGUCUUUCUAACCGAUUUAUGAACUGA